ACUUCAAAGUGUUUGUAACAUGCUAAGUAAGACAUAAUGCUGUGCUUUGAAUGCAGUGGGUUCCAAAUACAUGUUUGUUGAAUGACAAAGAAAAAGUGGUGUUGAUCAAUGAAAAGAAUGGAAGCCCUGGAACCUCAGCUCCUGCCUGCAGUAAGGUACACCAUGCAGAAGAACUUUUAUGGAAAAAAAAAGCUUCCUGAGGGAUAAAUGCUUCAUUUGCUUUAACUGCUUGCAUCUGUACUUACUAAUGAGUCAUUUUUUUCUUAAUUGGUAAUUUAU
rnacentral:lncRNA from 1 species